rnacentral:rRNA from 1 species
CCUUUAAAUUUUAGCGGCGGACGGGUGAGUAACACGUGGGUAACCUACCUUAUAGAUUGGGAUAACUCCGGGAAACCGGGGCUAAUACCGAAUAAUACUUUUUAACACAUGUUUUGAAGUUGAAAGACGGUCUUGCUGUCACUAUAAGAUGGACCCGCGGCGCAUUAGCUAGUUGGUGAGGUAACGGCUCACCAAGGCAACGAUGCGUAGCCGACCUGAGAGGGUGAUCGGCCACACUGGGACUGAGACACGGCCCAGACUCCUACGGGAGGCAGCAGUAGGGAAUCUUCCACAAUGGACGAAAGUCUGAUGGAGCAACGCCGCGUGAGUGAAGAAGGAUUUCGGUUCGUAAAACUCUGUUGCAAGGGAAGAACAAGUAGCGUAGUAACUGGCGCUACCUUGACGGUACCUUGUUAGAAAGCCACGGCUAACUACGUGCCAGCAGCCGCGGUAAUACGUAGGUGGCAAGCGUUGUCCGGAAUUAUUGGGCGUAAAGCGCGCGCAGGUGGUUCCUUAAGUCUGAUGUGAAAGCCCCCGGCUCAACCGGGGAGGGUCAUUGGAAACUGGGGAACUUGAGUGCAGAAGAAGAUAGUGGAAUUCCAAGUGUAACGGUGAAAUGCGUAGAGAUUUGGAGGAACACCAGUGGCGAAGGCGACUGUCUGGUCUGUAACUGACACUGAGGCGCGAAAGCGUGGGGAGC